UUGAAUGAAUGAGAUUGUUGUGUGAUCAUAAACUCAUGGAACAUGCUUUAUAGACUUGUACCUUGUACCAUAUCCAUAAUGCCUACCAUGUGUUCGAUAAAAUGCCUAAAUGAGGAAUGUAUGUGUAUUUUGGAAAAAUGGUAGAAUGAAGCGAUAAACUAAACAAAGGAAUGAAUGUCGUGAUGUAGGCAUAAAGGAAGAAGGUACAAGCACCAAGAAACCGGAAGGCGCGCAAGAUCGAGGUAAAGCACCUCUUUAGGCGAUUUGGAGAUAUGGGACGAGCACAUGUUCAAGCCUUAUGAUACCAAGCGCUUCCGCAACUUAUAUGCAUGCUUUUGGGUCAUGUUUAUUACUUGUUAAACUUGUUGAAAUGUUUUAGAAUUGAAAACUUGUUGUUUUUGUUGGGAUGGUUUUAUGUUAAAUAGGUCGUAGUGUAAACGUUGUAAGUUAUGUCAAAACAGGGGGUAUGCUCGUUUUACAAACGGGUCAUGCCCAAAUUUUGUAAAAAUUUUCUAUUAAGUGUCAAAAUUGUAUUUCAAUGUCCGAAAGAUCUUGCUUA